UGUUCUUGAAAAUAACAAGGUGGAAGUUGGAAGUCACAUUCCCACCAAAGGGAGUGAAUUUAUGUACCUGGUGAUGAACAUGUACAAGGGCAUGUACUCUGUCGAUUUGGUAAAUUGGGUCUGCUCUUGUAGAAGAUGGGAACUCACUAGUAUUCCAUGUAAUCUUGUUGUUGCUGCUAUUUAACAUAAAAGGGAGGAUCCAAUGACAUAUGUCUCCAAAUGGUAUACCAAGAAAUACUACAUGAAGGCAUACUCUCAGCAAAUUUUUCCAAUUAGGAAUCAAGAUGAGUAACCUAUAAGUGGCAAGGUUGGAAUGAUUAAGCCAAUUGGGAAGACUCAACCUGGGAGGCCUAAGAAAAGCAAAAGAGUUGAACCUAAUGAGUUGGCUUCACAUUGAAACAAAGAUAUAUGAGAAUGAGAUGUUCUGGCUGUGGUGCAGUGGGCCAUAACUUUAGAACUUGUGCUAGAAACAACUCUAAUUCGGUAAGUUACUAUAGUAUUCUUUGCAACUGGUUUGAAGCAUAAUGUUUACUUGUUUUUGGAUUGAUAAAAAAGAUUUAUUUUUGUAGUGAAAAGACAACCCCCCGGCUGAUCCUGGUACUUAUGCUAGAAAUAGCAGUCAGCCAGAAAAUGCUUCAGUGAGUUCAACAACAAAUCUGAGUGCUCUACAAGGAAUAAUGUCACCACCUCAGCAAGCUCCAUUCAACCCACCUCGGUAAGGUAGCAACACAGUUGCAAUAAGGACCAAACAUGGUUAGUCAAGGUGGUAUCUAGUUUUUUGAUUGGCAAGCAGUUUAUUGGAUAAGUUUGGAGCUCAAAGUCAAUUGUUAUGUCUACUUUUGUCUCUGUUUUCUGAUGCUCACUGAAUACCAUUUUCAUUGGAUUUGAGCAAGGUUGUAAAUAUGUUUUAGGAUCACUAAUGUAUUUGAGCAAGGUUGUAAAUCACUAAUGUAUUUGAGCAAUGUUGUAAAUCUGAUUUUGGAUCACGUUUUGUACACCACAUAUGAUGCAGUGUUAGUGUCAUUUCUACUUUUUGGUCACUACACUAUAAGCGAACCUAUCUUGUAAAUAGAUACUAGUUUACUGAAUGAAAAUGUUGGCUCACUUAUUACAUUA